rnacentral:rRNA from 1 species
UACGGGGGGGGCAAGCGUUGUUCGGAAUUACUGGGCGUAAAGGGCGCGUAGGCGGCCUGCUAAGUCACACGUGAAAUCCCUCGGCUCAACCGGGGAACUGCGUGUGAUACUGGCGGGCUCGAAUUCGGGAGAGGGAUGUGGAAUUCCAGGUGUAGCGGUGAAAUGCGUAGAUAUCUGGAGGAACACCGGUGGCGAAGGCGGGGUCCUGGGCCAGUACUGACGCUGAGGAGCGAAAGCGUGGGGAGCAAACAGG